AGUAUAUGCAUGGCUUUGUCCAAAUUCAUCCCCAACUGAAGCCACACCGGACACGUCUUGAUCAGUUUCUCUAGUAUGCUGAUUCCAGGAGGCACAGAUGACAGGCGUACCUCAUCUGUAACUUGGUUGGCUCUCAUUGUGAUAUCUUCUACUGUCAUGUCGGCCAUCUUGCUGGUGUCCAAGUUCGCCUCUCCUCCUGUGACCUUAAGUUCCACGCUCUGGGGUCUGAAGGCAAAGGUCAAAGUUUAGAGGCCAUUGAAUCAAACACAAACGAAGAUGCCCACAGAAAAAGCUUUCCCUACUACCUGGAAUCUGAAGGAAUUCUGUCAUCGUUACCCAGCCUGAUGUUCAUCAAAUAAAAUGUUUAAUGUGAAGCUCUGGAGAGGACUAUAA
rnacentral:lncRNA from 1 species